GUUUGUAUUUUAUAAGUCUGUGCAAAGUUUUGUUCUCCCUCUUUGUGAUUAACUUCAGAAAUCUCAUUUGGUAUACGUUUCCUUUUUGUUAUCAUUUCUGCUAAUCACAUAUGCUUGUGAUUGUUGAUUCUCUUUAUAUGAAUUACUUCGCUUCAAUAAAGGUAUGUUAAUAUUUUCCUGGUGAAACCUGAAGCUUUACUGCUGCACUUGUUGAUGGUGGUAACACGGUGUUAGUAUUGUUGUCUGGAUCUAACAAAAGUCCAAAUUUGGUCUCUAAUGGAAGUGGCAUAAGUGAAUCUUCUUCAGUCUCGGUAACUGGUUUCAGUUUUCUCAGUCUUUCCUUUGCUUUCUCAGCUGCUUGUAGAGCCUUUUCACUGCUUAAAGUUAUCAGUUUCCAUGGGUUUAUGCUUACAUGAAAACCUGGUUUCUUGUUGAUCAGCGUGGAAGUCUGCAUAUGUUCUAUGGCUGCUGGAUAUGAAUUUAGUAUUAUGCAUAGGAGUUUGGAUGUUAUAUAGUGGAGGUUCUGAUUCGUUCUGCUUGCCUACACUCCCCUGUAUCUGUACAUCAUAAGUUUGUGAGAUGAGAGUUCAGAUGACACUCCUGGGGAGAAUAAAGCAGCAAUGGAUUUCAUAAAGUGGCUAUUUGACAACACAAUCGUUAAGGCCACAAAAGUGUUUGUGAAGAUUACAAAGGUUAGGAGCGAGCUUUUCAAUAGUUACAAUGACGAUGGUGUUAACAAGAAGGGGAAAGAUGCCAAAUUCAACAAUUGACUCGAGGAAAAGCUGAUGACCUCGGUCCUCCUCUCCAUUGUGGUCGUACUGGUCUUCUGAUU